rnacentral:rRNA from 1 species
AGGACGAACGCUGGCGGCGUGCUUAACACAUGCAAGUCGAGCGGAAAGGCCCUUCGGGGUACUCGAGCGGCGAACGGGUGAGUAACACGUGAGUAAUCUGCCCUUAGCUCUGGGAUAGCUCCGGGAAACCGGGAUUAAUACCAGAUACGACCACUUUAGACAUCUGCCGUGGUGGAAAGAAUUUCGGCUAAGGAUGAGCUCGCGGCCUAUCAGCUUGUUGGUGGGGUAACAGCCUACCAAGGCGACGACGGGUAGCCGGCCUGAGAGGGCGACCGGCCACACUGGGACUGAGACACGGCCCAGACUCCUACGGGAGGCAGCAGUGGGGAAUAUUGCGCAAUGGGCGAAAGCCUGACGCAGCGACGCCGCGUGGGGGAUGAAGGCCUUCGGUUGUAAACCCUUUCAGCAGGGACGAAGCGAAAGUGACGGUACCUGCAGAAGAAGCGCCGGCUAACUACGUGCCAGCAGCCGC